rnacentral:rRNA from 1 species
GGCGGGGACGGGGUUCCGGCGAGGUAAUGAUCGGGGGGGGACCUAAAAGCGACCUUCGGCCUUGCUAUCAUGAGUGAGUUUGGGGGAGCGACGAUCCUAAGGAUGGACCAAACGGGAGGCAGCAGUGGGGAAUAUUGGACAAUGGGCGAAAGCCUGAUCCAGCCAUGCCGCGUGUGUGAAGAAGGUCUUCGGAUUGUAAAGCACUUUAAGUUGGGAGGAAGGGCAUAAGCUAAUACCUUGCUGUUUUGACGUUACCGACAGAAUAAGCACCGGCUAACUCUGUGCCAGCAGCCGCGGUAAUACAGAGGGUGCAAGCGUUAAUCGGAAUUACUGGGCGUAAAGCGCGCGUAGGUGGUUUGUUAAGUUGAUGUGAAAGCCCCGGGCUCAACCUGGGAACUGCAUCCAAAACUGGCAAGCUAGAGUACGGUAGAGGGUGGUGGAAUUUCCUGUGUAGCGGUGAAAUGCGUAGAUAUAGGAAGGAACACCAGUGGCGAAGCGACCACCUGGACUGAUACUGACACUGAGUGCGAAAGCGUGGGGAGCAAACAGGAUUAGAUACCCUGGUAGUCCACGCCGUAACGAUGUCACUAGCCUUGGAAUCCUUGAGAUUUUAGUGGCGCACUAGCAUUAAGUUGACGCCUGGGGAGUACGCGCAGGUAAAACUCAAAUGAAUUGAGGGCCCACAGCGUGACAUGGGUUUAAUUCCAACCAAACUACGCUUGACUGCAAUUUCAAUUGGGGACUCUGACUGCACCAGCUCCGUUCAACCUGGAGCAC